CUCUGUCUCUCUCUCUCUCUCUCUCCCCCUCUCCCCCUCUCUCUCUCUGCUUCUCUCCCUCUCUCCUCGCUGUCUUUCCCUCGCUCAUUGUUCUCUCUCUCCUCCUGCCUUUGAUGCACAUACGUUGUCACAAUUCAUUGACUCUCCUCUCUUCUCUGUUCUUACACUCAAGCCUAGCGGUGCUUUCGCCAGGCAGCAGCAGCCUCUCCUGCGAGUUUUAGGCAUGUAUGCAGCUCAGUUUGAUCGAGCGUUCCUUUUCUGCCUUUUCACUCUUACAAAAGAUUAAAAGGUGGCGUCACAUUGCUCCCCUGUUCCUUCCCGCAGGAGGGACUUAAAAGGGACAACAAAAACUAAUCACUUUCAAUAAGCAUUUUCUUGCUGGAAAAAAAAAAAAGAAAAGAAAAAAAAAGAAAGAAAAAAAAAGGCGGGGGGUGGACUUAGCAGUGUAAUUUGAGACCGGUGGUAAGGAUUGGAGCGAGCUAGAGAUGCUGCACGCUGCUAACAAGGGAAGGAAGCCUUCAGCUGAGGCAGAUUACCACCAACAGACGCUUAAGCGAACACACAUUGAUUAUCCUACGGUUCUAUAGCUCGAGAAGCCUGGAACUCUGUGGUCCUGCACCUCCCCCUACACCCCCCAACAAAAAUUAGCCUCCAAUCAGCUCCUGGAGACAAUGUUGGUGGGAACCACAAGGGUUCCUGGGCAUGCCCAAUCUCUGGCACUGAAGAGGAGAUUCAAUCAAAAUAAAUGUAUGCUGUCGAGGCCAGGCUGGCCAUAUGUUCCUGCCAGGCAGUUGUCAGGAGGAGAUAUUUGUUACAUUCAAAUGUGGACACAAGCUCCUACGAAGGCAAACACUUGUCAUUUAAAGGGACAUCUGAAUAUGGCAGCAUGUUUCCAGUGAUAACCCAAUUUCAUUUUACAGCCUUUUCCUUCCCUUUCUCUUGGGCUCUGGGCCUCCUUACCAACACAUCCUGUUGGCCAGCCUGCUCUAUCACAGCAGUAUAGUUGAAAACCUAGGCACAGCUUUCUACCCAUAAGUAGCUUUGUAAUAUUCCUAGGAGGAACUUCCUUUCUCCCUUCCUCUCCCACAUUGCCUCUUUGUCCAGAUGUUAACGUGGAAGCAUAUUGACUGCCUACUUUCAAGCCCUUAACUCUCUAAUUUCACUGAUUUCUGUAAUAGAAAGAGCUAUUAUUAUUAAGUUUUUAUCACAGAGCUAAAGUUUAGUUUUUGCAAGUGAAUAGACCACUAUUCUCCUUCCUGUGUUAGUAACUGCUUUUUAAAGCUCUUGUGUUCUAUUAAAAUAACAAUAUAAAAUUA
rnacentral:lncRNA from 1 species